rnacentral:snRNA from 1 species
AUACUUACCUGGCAGGGGAGACACGAUGAGCACGAAGGUGGUCUUCCCAGGGCAAGGCCUCUCCGUUGUUCUCCAGGUGUGCUGACCCCUGCUGUUUCCCCAAAUGGGGGGAAACUCCACUGCAUAACUUGUGGUAGUGGGCAGCUGCAUUCGAGCUCUCCCCC